AAGUCGUAACAAGGUUUCCGUAGGUGAACCUGCGGAAGGAUCAUUAGCGAAAUGUUUGUCGAGAGGGGUUGUAGCUGGCUUUGGCACGUGCACGCCCCCGAUCGCAAAUUUCACCCUUCACACACCUGUGCACACCAUGUAGCUUUGCGACGCUCUGCGUCCUUGGCUGCGAGCUUUUAUCACACACACACACACUUCAGAAUGUAACUGUAGCAGCGUUUAAAAAGCGCGAAACAAUACAA
rnacentral:misc_RNA from 1 species